rnacentral:rRNA from 1 species
AUACGAAGGGUGCUAGCGUUGUUCGGAAUUACUGGGCGUAAAGCGUACGUAGGCGGAUUAUUAAGUCAGAUGUGAAAUCCCGAGGCUCAACCUCGGAACUGCAUUUGAAACUGGUAGCCAAGAGAUCAGGAGAGGUUAGUGGAAUGCCGAGUGUAGAGGUGAAAUUCGUAGAUAUUCGGUGGAACACCAGUGGCGAAGGCGACUAACUGGACUGAUACUGACGCUGAGGUACGAAAGUGUGGGGAGCAAACAGGAUUAGAAACCCUAGUAGUCC